AGCGAACGCUGGCGGCAUGCUUAACACAUGCAAGUCGCACGGGCAGCAAUGUCAGUGGCGGACGGGUGAGUAACGCGUAGGAACGUGUCCUGAGGUGGGGGACAACCCCGGGAAACUGGGGCUAAUACCGCAUAUGGGCUGAGGCCCAAAGCCGAGAGGCGCCUUUGGAGCGGCCUGCGUCCGAUUAGGUAGUUGGUGGGGUAAAGGCCUACCAAGCCUGCGAUCGGUAGCUGGUCUGAGAGGACGACCAGCCACACUGGGACUGAGACACGGCCCAGACUCUUACGGGAGGCAGCAGUGGGGAAUAUUGGACAAUGGGCGAAAGCCUGAUCCAGCAAUGCCGCGUGGGUGAAGAAGGUCUUCGGAUCGUAAAGCCCUUUCGACGGGGACGAUGAUGACGGUACCCGUAGAAGAAGCCCCGGCUAACUUCGUG
rnacentral:rRNA from 1 species